CGCCCUCAUAAAAUAAGUCGUACCCACCAAUUUUGUAAGUCAUGGCCCGUAUUUUGGACUCGAAAACAUAAAAGUUCACCGAUUCGUUUACAACAAUUAAGGGGUCGACACGUCGUUCGAACCUUAGUGCCCGCGUACUUAGAUAUUCCUCUCUAACGCACACCUAUUCUUUGAUGACCUGGUCUUCUACUCCAUCCGGAUCCGCCACCACACCCUGGUUCCCUUGCGCACACAUCGAGUGCGCUCCGCCGGCUGCGGGUCGCGUCGGGGAGAAGUGUUCACGCACCCUCGACCUAAUCUAGGUGCGCGGGCUCGCGCAGGUGUGUAGGUGCUUCGUCGUUGUUGGAAGUUGCACUCAACUAGACGUCGUCGUUGUGAGGAACGGCAGCGGUACCAGGGAGGGGAAGACGGAGGGGAGAGCACUCGCGAGCGAGCUGGGGUGCGUAGUGCGUGUUGGAGUGGACGAGCUUGGGGUGGAGGUAGGAUAAGAGCUAGCCCUCUACAAGGGCUAGGAGACGGCGGCCGGCCGGCGUCCUCGCGGCGGCGGAACCGGAGGAAGGAGGAGCUGGGGACGGCGGACGAGCGGAAACACGGUGGAGCGGGCUGGAAGAGGAGGCGGGAGGACGAUACGGGCUCGAGGCGGGGAAGGACUAGGACAGCACCGGGUGGCGGGAGGAGAGCGUGCCCAGCACGCGACGACGGCGCGGGCGGGAGACGAGUGGCCUACCGGUAUCGCGGUGGCGACGACGACCGGCAGCGCCAACGGUUUAAGACGGAGGGGAGGGAUACAGGAGGCGGCCCGGGGAAUGACAGAGGACGUUGUAGUCGACAACACUGCGGAAGUGGAACACGCGGGCCAGUGACGUCGGGUACCGGCGGGGACGCAGGCAUGCGCUGGCCGCUCGAGGUGGGGAAAGUGCCGGAGGGCACGCGGUUCGCUCGGGACGCAGGCGGAAGACGACGAGAGAAACGGGGAGGAGGAAGCCGGCGGUGACGGGACGGCUACCGGUACAGGUAGGAGACGUGGGGCUCCUGGCGGUUCGGGUAACGCCCGGGCGCUGCGGGCAUGCGGCGGCGUGGGGCGCGAGCAGCAGGUGCUCGAGAGCGAGGCUUGAGGGCUCCUCUCGGUGUCGCGCACGAAGAAGAGGGGAGCUAGGUCGUCCGUCGUUGUGUGCUGGGCGGGGGGAGACGAAGCUUUCUUUUGAGUUCCCCGAAAUACAUUUAAGCUUUGCAAAAAACUGAAUGAUUUUGGACAUCACGCCCAACUAAAGUCCCUUGAUAUCCCACAAAAGACGUUUUGUUGGUGCUGCCUGCUGGUCUUCGUUAUCGACCAAAUAAUCAUCCAUUUCUAAUCCUUUUCUAACUCUUAGUAUUCCCAUCCGGGACGAGCCAUUGAACCAACCUAAUUCCCAAAAUAGGGUGGAGUGUCAGUGUUAGAGUGUAUAGAACGGGGGUAGUGGGCAGCUUUGUUGGAGAAUAAAAACUUUUAAGGAAGAACAUACAGAAGUUGGACAGUACCGGUUGAGGGAACAUACGGGGGUUUUGGGUAGACUAUAUGGCACGUGACAAUGACCGUUGGUAUACAGUGUUACCGCUGCGUGUACUAGGGUCCAUUUGAAAGACGUCCGUAUAGUACGUAUACGUAAAGAACAAAAGCGAAGAAUAUAAAGAGGAUCGGUCCACCAAGAAAUUCGAUAAGACAAGACACACUAUACAUAGGUAGAAUAUAAGAAGUGGUAUGUCUAGAUAAAUAAAAACGUGUCAUCAUGUAAAUGUAGUUAUAAUCAUGUCGAGUACGUCGUAGUCCGAGACCAUGAAGUAAAAGGGCAUAUUAUUACGGACCUUCACUUACCUACCACUACCUAAGUUCGACGGAUUGAUAUGUACAAAACCUAAGUUCGAAAAACAGUAUACGUCAAUAAACCGUACAGUGGAGCGGUCUUGUUAGGACUCUCGUUACGUAUAAAAAUCGCCUUAAAUCAUUCUAUUGAUGCUACUCCAUGAUCGUACAUAAAACCUAAACCAAACCGGAUUUAGCAACGUUGGGCUAACAGAACCAUUCGCUUUUUGAAAUCCUUACGUCAACCAUGUCCCCCCUUAAUCUUUGUUUGUACCGACAUUUUACAACCGAGUGCAAGUUAUCGUUGGUAUCUUUGGACUUCAAGAACCUUAUGCAAGAUCCUUAAGACUUCAAUGACAUAAUGUCAACUCUCUAACGAACACAAAUAGAGUUUACACAAAAACAGACAGAUAGUACAUUUACGAUUUUCAAUAUAAUCAUAUGACAAUGCGCACUCUGUACCAGCAGGUAAUUAACUAGUUUAUUUGGGUCCAGUAAUGGUAUUAACAGUACGACAUAAACCAUCUCAACGAAUCUAAAAAAAAAGAUGAAAACCUUGUGAGCUUCAAAGAGAGGUUACAAAUCACCAUGCAGAGACCGUAGUUUUAUGAACUGGGGUAAAACAAAGAAUUUAAAGUCUCCUAAGUCUACUCUUAAAUAAAUGUGUUCGAAUAUUAGAAAAACGAUGGGUCUACAAACAAGAUGACCAUACGUUUUAUUAAACUGUUGUUUUGAGUACCUUUAUAGCGUGUAGUCAUAUACUCAUGUGAUUUAUCCUUUAAGAGUUACUAAAAUUUGAUGUUUUGACCCUCAAUUGUCCUAUUAUAUCCUACCGUACCCAAAAGAGCUACAAUCUUUAAUUACUAUGGAAAUACCCCAACUCUGUUCGUCUUACAAAGCAAGGAAACACUCGACUUACGCGUCGCGACGGACAAGACAAGCGUAAAAACCGUGAGUCUCCCUUACCUAUUGCCGAGGACAAGUGAGGUCGCUUUUACAAUAUGCCUUGGUACCAAGACGGCUUGGAUGCGAGCUGUGGUAAUUAGAGACCUGUGAAAAGUAUUCCUAGGCACGUACUAACUAAUUUUUUACGUACUACCCUCGACAAACGUAUAAUUUGUUACGCACUGCACCUAGGUGUACAUCGUCCUACAACUUAGCAUGCCGCAGCUGGUAUCCAAGCCGACUUGGUACCAGGUCUUAGUGCGGAGAGAAGUGAGGUCAGCUGACGAUACAGUAUUUUAACCUCCCGAGGAAGAAGUUGUAGCACGAACCUCGGUAUUAUAGGACACGGUUUAUAGCCCUCCCGCCGUAGACUAUACUGGAACGUCAGGUUACCUUCUAGUAUGUACUUACGUAGUCAACGGUGGUUUAUGCUCAUCACCCAAAACAACGAUUCCGUCCUCUAACCCGGUCGCUAUCAUAGUCGUCGACUCCGUCUUCGUAUCAUUGGUGGAGACAGUAGUAUCUGUCCUAUGACUCAUUAAGGCGAACCGCACUUGAGGGAACUCUUCGGAUGUUCGUAAGGUCAAGACGACAUCACACUUCAUGUCACCACCAGUCGUCGGCCACCACUUGAAUAACUCUACUCUAAGACUUAGUAACACGUGCGCCUCCAUUCGCCCCACUACAACUCCUCCCGUGGCCACAUUAAAUACCUCAACUGUAACGUACCCGGUUCUUCACCCACUUCGUACUAUCACCUAACCGGACUCGUACGAUCGUAGCGUGUACAACGUGGCGUCCUACUACCACAUAACGACCUUAGUUCGGCCUCACCCUUGGUCUAGAGCCCAGGUAGAAACGACGUGGCCCUACCGCCUGUCAAAGACUUCUUUAGAACCAGUAGGGUUCGACGACUUCGACACCAGUACAGCCAAGGUACCGACUGUUCCGUCUGGUGGUCCCGACACUGUUCCUUAUAUGAGUAGAAAGACGAAGACGUGAUGCUCUACCUACUUCCAUUCGGUCCAUAACAUUAAUGUUUCUGUAUUCUUUCAGUCAUCAGAUUCAACACGAACGGACUCAUUCUUGAAGGAGGCAAGCACCUAGCCACGUUUGGAGGACAUACAACAAAACAUCAUCGAUCCACUGACGUAGCAACAUCUAGUUCGAAACAUCUGACGUAGUGAUGUCAUCUUAGGUUCUGGACUGUGACUGUACAUAGUUGGAGGAACGGUUCAGUGUCUUCGUAUAUGGUCGUAGGGAGGGACUAAUAUGAUUGGUCCUCCUCAAUUGUUCCUAGUAUAUGUAUAGCGUUGUAGGAGAAAUACUACUGUAUACCGUCGUCACUACACCUACAAUUGGUAGAGACUGGCCCAGUAAGAUGUCUAAGAAAAUAAGGUAGUAGGGAACAUAUAAAGCAUAAACAAAAGUGGGAACAAAGGAAUGUCAGGUAAUUUGUACUCUUUUUUCGUGCGUUGUUUCGGUCUUGUUCUCUAUUUGUCAACUGAUAGUAGCUACGGAGGUACCACCAAGGACCACGUAAAGUACCAGCGUCAAGAACGGCACCUACAAGUCCCCGCUGUACUAUAAUGACUAUUAUCGUCCAUAUGGACGAGAGGAAAGAUAACGCCAGUAGAGGUUCUGCAGGUCAUGGGAAAGGCGGACGUUCCGCUAGGUACCACCACACCAAGAGGCAGUAUGCUCGAAUGGACGUGGCUAUCGUUACGAUGUUAAGUCUAGUUGUGUCCCUGUAUGAAACAGUGACUCUAACUGAUGUUCAUAAGAAGGAAGACCCAGCACCUGCGGUUGAACCUGUACUCGUCAUCGACGGGAGAAGGAGCGACCCUAGUUGCGGGAAUAGAUGUACCGGAGGUCGUCAGGCUGCCGAGGUAGUAUAAACUGGGAAAAAAGCAAUGCACCGGAUCGAAACACUUAACAAGCGCCCACCAGUGCUUGUUAUCACUGAUGUAUGGCCAGUGAACGGACUUGUGCUCCAUAAGAAAACAGAUACACAACUAACUGAUAUAAAGACAACCCCUGGAACUCGGAAGAACGCCCAUGAACCGGUACCGACGAAACCCACCAGCCUCGUACGCUAAUCUAUUACGUUCAGUACUUUAAGACCAUCUUAGGUACUCCUCUCCUAAACGGCAAUCCAAAGGAAAGUCUAUAGUUUCCUGAAACCUCCCGAAGUUCCCCACGUAUUUCCUAGCGAAACACACUCAAAUAUAGAUAUGUGACACGAAGACAAAACCUUUUAUGUAUGUAAGGAAUGAAAAGGUGCAAAAGAGGUUACAGACGUCGGAUCCGGGACCCAUAAGUCACCACAUAGAGCAACGCGCAAGCCGACACUAGUAAAACCGUGAGCUAAAACUUCAUAACGUAACGCGUAAAUCUUGUUGUCAAAGAAGGUUACUUGUAGAGCCGUGUGAUGUCCAACGUCAUGAUAUGAGAUGCAGCUAUAACUUCAACUAACGACAUGAUACGUCCAAGCACCAACGAGGGGACCACCAUAACAAGAAGUAUCGAGUGUUUAUGACCUUUUGCUCCUAGUGUUAACUACGCCAGCUCUUCAAGGAUGCCUACGUCGUUUACUAGCCGGGCUGUUCCAUGCGGAUGUGUCUAUAACAGCGUCAUUGUUCGGUAAAGUCUCUGUUCGACCCGGUCCCUCCGAUACCGAGCCACAUGUUCCCGCAAGACGAGGGUCCGUUACAGAUACACCGGUAGUUCUACGAUCUACCAUUUAGGUCGACGCUACCUCUUCUAAAGUAGUCACUCCAGAGGUGGUAGCCCUCCUAGGUGGUGCAGUUACACCACGCAGAUCAGCCCAAGACGAGCCUCCUUUACUCCUCCCACGAUCGGAUGCUCAUAUACGGGGUACCAAGAGACCUGUUCAUGUAGAAGAGCCGACUCUCCUCAAAGAGGACCCUGUUCGAAUUACUUUAGCGGAACCCGUAACGGUCCCCCUAGUUGAUGGACGUAGUUCCUACGCUGUACGUCUAAGACGUGAAACUGUAGUUCGGCGUGUUGUAGGAAGAACUGUCGUUAAAGCAGGGUUUCCAACGGCUAAAGCCGGAACGGUUCGACAUGGGUUCCCUGUUGUCAAAACACGGCAACUCGCGGGAUGCCCCUUGGUAACCCAUGUAUCGAGGACUUUACUAUAGGGCCUCGAAGCCGCAGUAUAGCUGGUUUAGACUGCAAAUGUCGAAGCCCUACGACGACGACCUCUACCGGCCUCCCCCUCCUUACGACUGGGCCCGUGCCGCUUGAGUUCGGUCUGUAAGAUGGGCAGCACCCACAUACUGGCCGAUUCGUUUGUCCUUGACCCACUCUACGCACGACUCUACGUACUCAACCUCUCCUUUGAAACACAACAACCCGAAACGACGUAGGUCUAAGUCAGAGUGCUAGCCGGCGGCUACUCGCUUCAGUAUCUCUACGAACUUCCUCCACACCUACCGGACGUCAACGGAAGCUCCGGUAAGAAGACACUGCUACCCGUCUGGGGACAUCGCCUCAGAAUUCUAAAGACGAGACCCGACUGACGGUAAAGUCUCCUCCUACUGACUUUAAAACAGAUACAAGUCACAGUACAUAAUAAUGAUCUCCGCUACUUGAACACUUUUCAAUGCCAUUACCAACAGAACCCUCAUUUUCUUACACUUAAUAGAUGGCACGAAGAAAACUUACAAUAGGUUUUUAGUUAGUAUAGCUCACAUUUCAAAGUAAACUGGAGGUUGGAAUCCACACUCUACAAUACUUUUUUAGACUUCUUUUUCCAUGUCGUCUCUUAUAGUUUCUUUUUUUUACAUACGUCAUAUGUCACUCGACAACCGCUCCUGGGCUACUGCGGUUUACUUUUUUUUUUAGACUACUACAGCUGGUGUACUAGAAAGAAGUACCGUGUAAUACUUAUACUUUUGUUGAAUGUGAGAGGUACCCUAUAAAUCUAGUCUUCAUUCCGACAAACAGUCACUGGACGAACUUUCAACUUUAGACUAACAUGUAAUAGAUCAAAAAAACCACACACUUUAGGUACCCGGACUCCUAGACGGCUGCGAAUAACUAUGCCGAGAUGUGCUCGCUGUAAACGUUCGCG
rnacentral:rRNA from 1 species